rfam:Dipodomys ordii contig_49207, whole genome shotgun sequence.
GUAGCUCAGUGGUAGAGUGCUUGCCUUGCAUGCAUGAAGCCCUGGGUUCGAUUCCUCAGC